CAUCACAUAUGCAAAUUGACUCAAAAUGGAUCAUAGACCUAAAUGUGUAUCAUUUCUGGGAGAAGACAUAGGAGAAAAUCUUUUAGACGCUGGAUUAGACAACAGGUUCUUAAAGAUUUCUUAGGUAAGAAACAAAAAAUCACAAGCCAUUUAAGAAAAAAAUGCUAACUUAAAGCUGGUCAAAAUUAAAAACUUCUGCUCUUCAGAAAACAUUUUUAUUUCUUACUUUUUUUUUUAGACAGAGUCCCACUCUGUCGCCCAGGUUAGAGUGCAGUGGUGCAAUCUCGGCUCAUUGCAACCUCCACCUCUCAAGUUCAAGCACUUCUCGUGCCUCAGCUACUCGGAAGGCUGAGGCAGGAGAACCACUUGAACCUGGGAGGUGGAGGUUGCAGUGAGCCUAGGUCAUGCCGCUGCACUGCAGCCUGGGCGACAGAGUGAGAUUCCAUUUCAAAAACAAAAAAAAAAUUAGGCUUUGUGAAAGGAGCCAAACACAAGAGGCUAUGUGCUAUAUGAUUUCAUUUAUAAGACAUUCUGGAAAAGGCAAAAGUAUAGGAACAGAAAUCAGAUUAGUAGCUAACAGGGGCUGAUGGUGGGAGGAUGGGAUUGCCUACAAAGGGACAGUAGGGGCCUUUUUGAGGCAUCAGAAAUGCUUUAUAUUGGGAAUGUGGUGGUGGUUAUGUAACUAUACAUUUGUCAGACUCAUCAAACUGUACACUUAAAAAGCGUGAAUGUUACUAUAUGAAAAUUAUACCUCAAUGAACCUGACUUAAGAAAAUAAUAAAACAAACCUAAAGAACCAACUAAGUAAAAAUAAAUCUCAGAAAAAAAUAACUUACAGUUUUUCCAGUUCAACAGUCAUCAUGAGAAUGUUCUUAAGUGUUGUAAGUGGGACUAGCGUUGUUCCCAUGUCUCUGAAGAAGAAAGCCGAAACAUUCAUGAUAUGAGCCCCAAUAAAAAAUUCUGUACCUAACAAUUCAAUUUUGGCUUCUCUAUUAAACAAGCCAGCUCAAGACUUUAUUUGCUGUAGAAUUCCAGGGAGCUCUUAUUAAAGAAAUUAAAAGUUGAUUUGCAUCAUCAAAUUAAUGAUACUCAAGAGCAGAACUGACACUUUUUUUUUUUACCAUUAUCUUCUCAUUUUCAUAUUGCACUCACCAUCUUAUUUACUCUUUUCUUUAUUUUUAGAAUAAUGAACACCUUUUCCCCUUUGCUUUCUUGGUUAAAUAAUAUUCCUCCAUGUGUCUACAUGUUCCAAAUCUGUAUGGGUUCUUCAAUGCUGUUCUCUUCCCCUGCUGGCUGUCUUGACCAUUAUACAUCCUCUUAAUUUUUUUCUUCGCCAAUAACUUUUUUUCAAUAACCCAGUUAAAAUUUAAAUUAUGACAUUUUAGCCUAAAUGCAAAAUACUUAAGCUUUGAUGAAAAAUUUAAAAAGCAUAAAUCAUCUCUUGACUCAUGAGAGUACUAUAGUACUUACAGAUAUUUUAAUGCUGGCAAUUUAAAGAGAUACGGAUCUUCAACAGUUGUCAGAGGAUUGUGAUUGAGAAUUCUGAAAAAUGGAAUAGAAUUAAAAUAACCUGCAUUUUCAAUGUGUAAAACUGCAUGAAAAGUUUACAUUCAUUUUUUGAUAUGGAACUUGUAGGUAAAAAAGAAAAAAAUGUUUCCUGUCUUUACCUAAGAAAUCACCAUUAGACUCCGUAAAGCACUAUUCCUAUGGGAACUACCAAGGUCUCUAGAAGAUAAAGGAUAGAACGCGGGGAAGAACUACAAGGAAAAAAAAAGUGGAUAGCAAAGAAAAAAUAUGCCACAGAACUUUUCAGGUCAAAAACCCUAAAAGUGACUAUGUUGGUAGGAAGCCCUGACUGUGGAGGAAACAGUAUUUCUAGCAUCCUCCAUAAUUCAAGUUGCUCAUCAUAAUUCAACUUGUUCAUCUAUUUUUUUUUUUUUUUUUUUUUUGAGAUGGAGCCUGGGCGACAGAGCAAAAAAAAGUGGAUUACAGUUUCUCUUUUUAUGUCUUUCCCCUAAUCAUUUCCCAUGAUUAAAUAGUUUAUUAGUCUAUGGUCAAUGAGACUUUUUUUUUUUUUUUUAAGAGACACAUUCUCACUCACUGUGUUGCCCAGGCUGGAGAGCAGUGGCUAUUCACAGCCAUGAUCCCACUAGUGAUCAGCAUGGGAGUUUUGACCUGCUCUAUUCCUGAACUGGGCUGGUACACCCCUUUUUAGGCAACCUGGUGGUCUCCUUUUCCCGGGAGGUCACCAUACUGAUGCUGAACUUAGUGCGGACACCCAAUCAGCAUAGCAUGCUACAGCCCAGAAUUCCUGGACUCAAAGGAUCCUUCUUCCUUUGCCUCCCGAGUAUCUGGGACUACAGGCAUGUGCCCAGUGAGCCUUCAGAGAUUUAAAAUCAUGUCGUAAGUGACAUCAGUGAAAAUGGUGGAAUAAAGACAUGCAGGCUGGGCGCAGUGGCUCACACCUGUAAUCCCAGCACUUUGGGAGGCUGAGGCAGGCGGAUCACGAGGUCAGGGGAUCGAGACCAUCCUGGCUAACAAAGUGAAACCCCGUCUGUACUAAAUAUACAAAAAUUAGCUGGGCGUGGUGGCAGGCGCCUGUAGUCCCAGCUACUCGGGAGGCUGAGGCAGGAGAAUUGUGUGAACCCGGGAGGUGGAGCUUGCAGUGAGAUGAGAUUAUGCCACUACACUCCAGCCUGGACAACAGAGUGAGACUCUGUCUCAAAAAAAAAAAAAAAAAAAAAAAAAAAGAGACAUCCAAAAAUUCAUCCCUUCAUAAAAGCAACAAAUACC
rnacentral:lncRNA from 1 species